rnacentral:rRNA from 1 species
AUUGAACGCUGGCGGCAGGCCUAACACAUGCAAGUCGAGCGGAGCGGCGGACGGGUGAGUAAUGCAUAGGAAUCUGCCUGGUCGGGGGGGAUAACGUCCGGAAACGGGCGCUAAUACGGCAUAAUAUCAGACGAGCCUGGGUUGGAUUAGCUAGUUGGUGGGGUAAAGGCCAACCACGGCGAGGAUUCGUAGCUGGUCUGAGAGGAUGAGCAGUCACACUGGAACGGAACCAAGGUACGGGCGCCACAGGGAGGCGGCGGUGGGGAAUGUUAGAAAAUGGACGAAAGCCUGAUCCAGCCCUGCCGCGUGUGUGAAGAAGGUCUUCGGAUUGUAAAGCACUUUAAGUUGGGAGGCGUUACCAACAGAAUAAGCACCGGCUAACUUCGUGCCAGCAGCCGCGGUAAUAC